GUGAAUCAUCGAAUUUUUGAACGCAAAUUGCACUCUCCGGUUUUCCGGGAGAGUAGGCUUGUUUGAGGGCCAGCCUAAAAAAAAUCGACAUGGUUGCUGUCUUAUGUUGACUCUCGUCGGAUAUGGGUUAUCUUAAAUUCCGGUAUAAGCGACUUAAAAAUUUUUUUUACGAUUCUAAGAAUGUUACUAAGUUUUUUCUUGUACGUUUAAGGUAUCGAAUGUCUUA
rnacentral:misc_RNA from 1 species